rnacentral:rRNA from 1 species
AUUGAACGCUGGCGGCAUGCCUAACACAUGCAAGUCGAACGAGACCUUUGGGUCUAGUGGCGCACGGGUGCGUAACGCGUGGGAAUCUGCCCUCUGGUUCGGAACAACAGUUGGAAACGACUGCUAAUACCGGAUAAUGACUUCGGUCCAAAGAUUUAUCGCCUGAGGAUGAGCCCGCGUCGGAUUAGCUUGUUGGUGAGGUAAAAGCUCACCAAGGCGACGAUCCGUAGCUGGUCUGAGAGGAUGAUCAGCCACACUGGGACUGAGACACGGCCCAGACUCCUACGGGAGGCAGCAGUGGGGAAUAUUGGACAAUGGGCGAAAGCCUGAUCCAGCAAUGCCGCGUGAGUGAUGAAGGCCUUAGGGUUGUAAAGCUCUUUUACCCGGGAUGAUAAUGACAGUACCGGGAGAAUAAGCCCCGGCUAACUCCGUGCCAGCCGCCGCAGUAAAAC